rnacentral:rRNA from 1 species
AACGAACGCUGGCGGCAGGCCUAACACAUGCAAGUCGAGCGAAGCCUUCGGGCUUAGCGGCGGACGGGUGAGUAACGCGUGGGAACGUGCCCUUUGCUACGGAAUAGCCCCGGGAAACUGGGAGUAAUACCGUAUGCGCCCUUCGGGGGAAAGAUUUAUCGGCAAAGGAUCGGCCCGCGUUGGAUUAGGUAGUUGGUGGGGUAAUGGCCUACCAAGCCGACGAUCCAUAGCUGGUUUGAGAGGAUGAUCAGCCAUACUGGGACUGAGACACGGCCCAGACUCCUACGGGAGGCAGCAGUGGGGAAUCUUAGACAAUGGGGGAAACCCUGAUCUAGCCAUGCCGCGUGAUCGAUGAAGGCCUUAGGGUUGUAAAGAUCUUUCAGUGGGGAAGAUAAUGACUGUACCCACAGAAGAAGCCCCGGCUAACUCCGUGCCAGCAGCCGCGGUAAUAC